rnacentral:rRNA from 1 species
CGCACGGGUGAGUAACGCGUAUGCAACCUGCCCUUCACAGGGGGAUAACCGGGAGAAAUUCCGACUAAUACCGCAUACGUCCUCCGGGGGCAUCCCCGGGGGAUGAAAGAAUUAUCGGUGAAGGAUGGGCAUGCGUGAUAUUAGGUAGUUGGCGGGGCAACGGCCCACCAAGCCCACGAUAUCUAGGGGUUCUGAGAGGAAGGUCCCCCACAUUGGUACUGAGACACGGACCAAACUCCUACGGGAGGCAGCAGUGAGGAAUAUUGGUCAAUGGACGAGAGUCUGAACCAGCCAAGUCGCGUGAAGGAAGACGGAUCUAUGGUUUGUAAACUUCUUUAGUGCGGGAACAAAGCGGUGUCGUGACGCCGGAUGAGUGUACCGCAAGAAUAAGCAUCGGCUAACUCCGUGCCAGCAGCCGCGGUAAUACGGAGGAUGCGAGCGUUAUCCGGAUUUAUUGGGUUUAAAGGGAGCGCAGGCUGCGAGGCAAGUCAGCGGUCAAAUGUCGGGGCUCAACCCCGGCCUGCCGUUGAAACUGUCUUGCUAGAGUUCGAGUGAGGUAUGCGGAAUGCGUUGUGUAGCGGUGAAAUGCAUAGAUAUGACGCAGAACUCCGAUUGCGAAGGCAGCAUACCAACUCGCGACUGACGCUGAGGCUCGAAAGCGUGGGUAUCGAACAGGAUUAGAUACCCUGGUAGUCCACGCAGUAAACGAUGAAUACUAACUGUUCGGAGGGCGACCUCUGAGUGGUAAAGCGAAAGCGUUAAGUAUUCCACCUGGGGAGUACGCCGGCAACGGUGAAACUCAAAGGAAUUGACGGGGGCCCGCACAAGCGGAGGAACAUGUGGUUUAAUUCGAUGAUACGCGAGGAACCUUACCCGGGCUCAAACGUCGGGCGAAUCAUCCUGAAAGGGGUGAGCCAGCAAUGGCGGCCGACGAGGUGCUGCAUGGUUGUCGUCAGCUCGUGC